rnacentral:rRNA from 1 species
AUACCCAAUGACGUUUCUAGAAGACAUCUGAAGGAGAUUAAAGAUUUAUCGGUGAUGGAUGGGGAUGCGUCUGAUUAGCUUGUUGGCGGGGUAACGGCCCACCAAGGCGACGAUCAGUAGGGGUUCUGAGAGGAAGGUCCCCCACAUUGGAACUGAGACACGGUCCAAACUCCUACGGGAGGCAGCAGUGAGGAAUAUUGGUCAAUGGGCGAGAGCCUGAACCAGCCAAGUAGCGUGCAGGAUGACGGCCCUAUGGGUUGUAAACUGCUUUUAUAAGGGAAUAAAGUGAGUCUCGUGAGACUUUUUGCAUGUACCUUAUGAAUAAGGACCGGCUAAUUCCGUGCCAGCAGCCGCGGUAAUACGGAAGGUCCGGGCGUUAUCCGGAUUUAUUGGGUUUAAAGGGAGCGUAGGCCGGAGAUUAAGCGUGUUGUGAAAUGUAGACGCUCAACGUCUGCACUGCAGCGCGAACUGGUUUCCUUGAGUACGCACAAAGUGGGCGGAAUUCGUGGUGUAGCGGUGAAAUGCUUAGAUAUCACGAAGAACUCCGAUUGCGAAGGCAGCUCACUGGAGCGCAACUGACGCUGAAGCUCGAAAGUGCGGGUAUCGAACAGGAUUAGAUACCCUGGUAGUCCGCACGGUAAACGAUGGAUGCCCGCUGUUGGUCUGAAUAGGUCAGCGGCCAAGCGAAAGCAUUAAGCAUCCCACCUGGGGAGUA